GGAACACCCAUCGGUAUAAUGCAAUACAUUUUUUUCCGACAUUAUAACCAUAAACCUUCAGGAUUUGCUGCUGGACUGUUUUAUUAGAUUGAUUUACUUUGAGUUAAGUACACCUAACUGGCUACUGAACUGUACUCAAUUACUACUCGUAAAAGUAAAAGCAUCAACAUGUAUCGGAUGUAUUAGGAGUAAAAUUAACUUAGGUAUCAAAAGUAUGCAUUGUGCAACCGUUUUUAAUGAAGCUACAGUAUAUCACAGUAUUGUGUUAUUAUCAUUCGCAUUAUUAUUGAUUUAAAAUGCAUUUUCUUUGACAUACUGUUGGCCAGUUAAUUCUAUAAGAAUGCAUCACAGUUUGAACACUAAUCACACGAUAUAAAAUCACAUCCAUACACAUAAAUUCAUUGUGAUCACCUGGUGAAUGGGACUGCCAUGUUUACUCUGCUUUAGCUUUUCAGCUGCUAAACGCUCCACUCUGUUCCUGUCUGUGUGUCUCUGCCUGAACUGCAGCAGUGACGAUGCUGUGCAAAGAACAAGAGUGAACCAAAGCAGAAAAGUUGCAGGACCAGACUGUUGAAGCGACGGGCCGAAACUCAUUAUGAAGCUGCACCUUCGGGCGCACACCAUUUGCACGGAAGAUUCCUCCGAAAUCCCGAAAUGCAUUGACACCGAGUCGCCGCCCCAACGAUCUCUAUUCGACUAAUUAAGCCAAUUAACCUACUGAAACAAUUUCGGCGAGGCCGCUGCACCAGCUCGCCAACGCUGGCUGAAACCCUGAAGAAAAGCUACGUGGAACAGUUUCUACCUGCAUGCGGACAAGCUGUUGACGCGACGGAAAAAGAGGCCAAGAAAGACAAAACCGACCGCCGGGCAUGUGUAUCAGAGAGCUGCGGCGGUGAUCUGUUGUCUGUACUCUCGAAAACGACGGACCAGAAAUGAUGUCGUUAGGCCAAAAAUGAUUUCAAAUGACUAACACGGAGCAGAGACAACGUGUCAUUGAGAGAACAGGGCCUGGUGUAUCUCCGGGCAGCCCAAGGUGUGCAGAGUGGAGCAGGGAGAGGCGUGGACGGCGUGUCAUGCAAGGACAAGACGGUGACAGGGCAAAUAUGGUGGAUGGGAGCGUUAAUGUGUGUGUGUGUGUGUGUGUGUGUGUGUGUGUGAGUGUGUGCAUGUACUUGUUAGUGAAUGUGCAUGUGUGUUGGAGGAAGAAUAGAGGGAGAACAAGAAGGAGAGAACGAGGGAAAGAGAGGUGUGAUAUCAUCAAUUAAAUAACCCUCCCACACAGCAUCUGGUGCUCUCUCUCUCUCUCUCUCUCUCUCUCUCUCUCUCUCUCUCUCUCUCUCUCAGGCCGUCUGUCUGGCCCUGUUCAGACCUGGCAUCAGUUUGCGUCUUGGGUGAUUCGAUGACAAGUGGAUCGUCAGCUCCGAGGGCUUUUUCAUACUUUACGUGCGCCUGGAGUGACCACGGGUGAUCAGGUCUCACUUCACAAGUCAUUAAGCUGUGUAACAUGAUGCACAUCAUUGCUGUUGGCAAAGACCAAUUACAGUAUGUUGUUGUUUUUUAGCCUGGCCGACUAUGACAUUUGUGUGUGUGUGUGUGUGUGUGUGUGUGUGUGUGUGUGUGUGUGUGUGUGUGUGUGUGUGUGUCUGUUUUCAGAUUCACAUAAGGAGAACGCAGCAGGUGAUUGUCCUGGUCAGAUGCAUUCACAAAAGCGGGACAACUCCAGAACAUUCAGGUGAGGGGGGCAUUGCGCCUGGGCAUAGCGUCCACCUGGUUGGCUGCGAAUUUUCCUGCUGUAUUCUUACAUGGGCUCACUUGGAUAUUUUGCAGACAUUUCUAUUAUAAGGGGACGGGCAAUAAAAGUCACGCAAUGAUCCUCGGCGACAUUUGCGGACAUUUGCUGUCUUCGCAUACAGCCCUUCUGGAAAAGUUCAGAAAAAUGCCUGAGCAUGCUCAUUAGCCUGGGUCACAGUUCGGCUUCACACCAGCUGCUUCUCUGAGCAACGCAUCCUCCAUCAUCCACCUCAAAAAGAAUAUUCACAGGUUAGCUCGAAUGCGGCAGCUGAAGGGAGGCGAAGAGAGUUAAUGUAACCAAGUGGAAGAGCGCUGAGAGGCGAACCACUGACCGCACAUUAACCGGGCAGAUGUGCACACUAUUGUUAUGCUGCUAAUUAAUUCCUGACUCGUGUUAACUCGGUUCGGGCUUCCUCUGCGAUUCAGUGAGACUUUUUCCAUGCUAAUGAGACGACUGUCCUCUCCGUCCUCCCGUGCCUCACCGUCUUCGCUCCCCCUCCGUCAGUCUGAUUGUAGAAUGAGGCCGCAGUUCAUGUGUGUCGCGGAAAUACUAGUGUGAGAUCGAAUGAUGAGGAUCAAGACAACUUUUAUAUAUUAAUAGACAGAAUCCAAUUAUAAGUUUCUGUGAACUGAGCUAGCUGGAAAAAAAUGAAUUUGCAUUUUAACAUUUCAGUUUGAUGUUAGAUUCUAAGAUGAGAGAGGAGGAG
rnacentral:lncRNA from 1 species